CAGUAGCCGCGGGAAUACGAAGGGGGCUAGCGUUGCUCGGAAUGACUGGGCGUAAAGGGCGCGUAGGCGGUUUUGACAGUCAGAUGUGAAAUUCCUGGGCUUAACCUGGGGGCUGCAUUUGAGACGUCAAGACUAGAGUGUGAGAGAGGGUUGUGGAAUUCCCAGUGUAGAGGUGAAAUUCGUAGAUAUUGGGAAGAACACCGGUGGCGAAGGCGGCAACCUGGCUCAUUACUGACGCUGAGGCGCGAAAGCGUGGGGAGCAAACAGGAUUAGAUACCCCCGUAGUCCCUGUCUCUUAUAC
rnacentral:rRNA from 1 species